UGGCCAGCAGCAGCACAGAAGUUCCACUGG
rnacentral:piRNA from 1 species